UCCAUUUUGAGGUGAUCUGAAUUUUGACAUAUGUGCUUUCAGCAAUAUCAGCAGGAAGGGCAAGAUGGUCAGGCUGAUAUGAAUAGAGGUGUGGAGUUGCGGUACCAAAACAGGCCAUUGGCUUGCAAAUGUUUUGUGUGGAGACUGGAAGCUUCUGGGCACUGUGAUCUUGUGGACUGAAGUCCAUGGCACCCACAGCAUUUCACUCUCAGUGCAAGCUGGAAGGAUCCUUUGAGGCAGUACAAUUUCAUGAUCUUGUGCAGCAGAAAGGCUGGAGAGGAGACAACUUGCUAGAUUUUCACCAGGGGCUUGGCUGAUACUCCGGAAGUUUUUUCCCAGAGAUGGAAAAAGAUCAACAAUCAGCCGAAGUUGGAAAGGUGCAGGAGGGAGCGUGUGGGGGCCCUCCCUCCGGAGCAUUAACUGGAUCUGCCAGCCCUUGUUUGGAGGAGAUGAUGGAUGCUUUCAGAAUGGCAGUAGAGGAAAGAGAUUUGGGAGCUAUACCAAAGCGUUUCAACUCAAGAAGUUGUUAUAACCCAGAUGUAACCCAGCUGUCUGAAGAGAAAACUUUCUCUAGCCCCAGGCAUUUUGUUAUUCUGUCAGAUUGGAGGGAAGAGAGACAAUUGGGGUCGGAAUUCUCUCAAGAAGACAAACCCAAGAUUUAUCCUGGGAGUCCAUCGGAGGCAGAUUUACAUCAACAGUUCCAGAAUUUAAAGGUGACAGGCUUGGUCUCACAGUCUGUUUGGAUGGGUGGAAGCUUGAGACCACCCAUGUUCACUUACCCAAGUAUUGUGAGGGAUGAGGAGACUAUACAGAUGCCAGUUGGAGGAGCCCAGCAAGAAGCAUCAACUGACAGAGCUAAAUCUACAUUGAAGGCUGCUAUGAAGACAAAACAGAUAUUCUUUGCAAAGUAAAGACCAAGGAGAAAUCAACGCGCUUUCCAGAGAUUCCUUUGCAUGAAUUCAGUGAAGACUGUAACUUAUGAUUUAUGGGAUAAUUCAGCCUUCUCCAGCUCCCAGAAUUCUCAGCAAUGGUCAUGCUGGCUGGAGAUAUUUACAGUAUGGAUUAUAUGAGAUAGCCAAUUAUGUUUAUUCAGCGAUCUAUAAUUAAAAUUGUG
rnacentral:lncRNA from 1 species